rnacentral:lncRNA from 1 species
CUUAUCAUGGACAAAGGAUGGAUGAGUUUUUUUGUAUUUUUUGGGAAAUGAUAUGCAAUGCAUGAUAACGAAUGCAUAUGCAAUGGUAUAUGAAUGGAUGCAUUUUUUUUUUGUUUUUUCUUUGGAUAGGUUCAAAGGUCGGAGGUAUGGAUAAAUUUGAUUGCUUUUCCAAAACGGGGUUCUCACCGGGUAUGAUCUAGGGCUUUGUCACAAAGGAUCCCUAGAGUCAUUGAUUCACAAGAAUAUUUGGCACUUACGGGAAAUACUUUCUGAUCGUCAACUCCAUCAAGGGAAUCUAUUCUGGGUGAGGUUCUCGUACCGAUUCUUACGAAGUAUUCACCUCGGGAAUCCGUACUACGCAACCAUCGACUGGGUUCUAGACAGGGUACUCAGAG